rnacentral:rRNA from 1 species
GGUUGAUCCUGCCAGUAGUCAUAUGCUUGUCUCAAAGAUUAAGCCAUGCAUGUCUCAGUGUAAACUUUUAAACAGUGAAACUGCGAAUGGCUCAUUAAAACAGUUAUAGUUUAUUUGGUAAUCAAUUUUACAUGGAUAACCGUGGGAAUUCUAGGGCUAAUACAUGCGUAAACCCGCAAGGGAUGUGUUUAUUAGAAUAAAACCAACACGUAUUUCGGUACGUACCAUUGGAAUGAUAAUAACCGUUCGAAUCGCACGCUUUAUGUGGCGAUAGACCAUUCAAGUUUCUGAC